rnacentral:rRNA from 1 species
AAAUGAAUUGACGGGGGCCCGCACAAGCGGUGGAGCAUGUGGUUUAAUUCGACGCAACGCGAAGAACCUUACCAGGUCUUGACAUCCCUUGAAGGCCCAAGAGAUUGGGAAUUCGGCCUUAGGGUCGACAAGGAGACAGGUGGUGCAUGGUUGUCGUCAGCUCGUGUCGUGAGAUGUUGGGUUAAGUCCCGCAACGAGCGCAACCCUUAUUGCCAGUUGCCAGCAGUGAGAUGGGAACUCUGGCGAGACUGCCGGUGACAAACCGGAGGAAGGUGGGGAUGACGUCAAAUCAUCAUGCCCUUUAUGACCUGGGCUACACACGUGCUACAAUGGCCUGUACAGAGGGCAGCGAAGGGGCGACCUGGAGCAAAUCCCGAAAAAGCAGGUCUCAGUUCGGAUUGCAGGCUGCAACUCGCCUGCAUGAAGUCGGAAUCGCUAGUAAUCGCGGAUCAGCAUGCCGCGGUGAAUACGUUCCCGGGCCUUGUACACACCGCCCGU